rnacentral:rRNA from 1 species
AGAGCGAACGCUGGCGGCAGGCUUAACACAUGCAAGUCGAGCGGGCGUAGCAAUACGUCAGCGGCAGACGGGUGAGUAACGCGUGGGAACGUACCUUUUGGUUCGGAACAACCCAGGGAAACUUGGGCUAAUACCGGAUAAGCCCUUACGGGGAAAGAUUUAUCGCCGAAAGAUCGGCCCGCGUCUGAUUAGCUAGUUGGUGAGGUAAUGGCUCACCAAGGCGACGAUCAGUAGCUGGUCUGAGAGGAUGAUCAGCCACAUUGGGACUGAGACACGGCCCAAACUCCUACGGGAGGCAGCAGUGGGGAAUAUUGGACAAUGGGCGCAAGGCCUGAUCCAGCCAUGCCGCGUGAGUGAUGAAGGCCCUAGGGUUGUAAAGCUCUUUUGUGCGGGAAGAUAAUGACGGUACCGCAAGAAUAACGCCCGGCUAACUUCGUGCCAGCAGCCGC